ACCAAGAUGGCCGAGUGGUUUAAGGCGGUAGAUUUAAGCUCUACUAUCGAAAGAUGCCUGGGUUCGAACCCCAGUCUUGGUA
rnacentral:tRNA from 3 species